GUGUGGCUGAAGGGCUGGUUAAUGAAGACACCCUCAAACCAUUGGUAAGGGAGCCCUAAGCUCUAUCCCAAAUGCACAUCUGAAACUCACCUCUCCACCCAAGAAAUUGACCAGCAAAAAGCAAGGAAGAAGUGAUCCUGGUAUUUCUGAGGUGAAAAACAAGCAAGGG